GGAGAAGCCACAUAAAUCAGCUCCUGGCUACUCUUUAAAAAUGUCCCAGUUCAGAAGGAAUUAAAAAGUCUCUAUCCUGUGAACACAACUGUGAUUCACUGACACAGUGAAAGAAAUCCUAUAGGCGAGAAUGAAGGCAUGAUGGGUCAGCGGUUAAGAUGCUAAUCUUGUCAUCUAGAAAACCGUCAGCCCACGUUCAAGACCCAAGCAUCAUGCAAUAGGGGUGAUAACUAACUUUCAGGAGAACUCUGCAUUGGGGCUGGAAGUUCUUCAUGCAACAGAAGCCAUGGUGUGCCAGCAGCAGCUAACAGGCAAAUGAAAAAUGAAUCAGCAGCCUAUCACCAAUCUCUGUCAGCACCUCCUGCCCCUCUAGCUCAACAGUGGGAUGCCAGCUGGUCUUCUAUUAACAAUCACAAAUUUGAACCAGAUAAUGUCACCUACAAAUCUUGCCUCUGAAGUAGAACAUGGCUGAUCUGCACAACUUUGCUAUUUAAUGAAGACUGUUUCCAAUUUUGGCUUACUUCUGUAUCUCAUCAGCAACAAUCACCUCAGUGAUCCCGCAAUUGUUCAGGCCUGUUCUAGGCCACUUGUCAUUACUACAGCAUUGUGCAAAGAAUAAAAAUGCUGUUCGACACUGGUCCCCUCAAUUUAUCAGUGCCAGCUGCUUAUUCCAAGGGUCCAAAAAAUUAGAGCAAUACAGAGUGUCUAAUUCCUUCCAGGUCAUUUCAGCUUUCAAACAUUUCAACGUUCAAUGGAAAUCUAUUUUAAGGCAGCAAGUCACAUAUUUUUUAAAGCUAAUUGUAUUCUUAAAUUGAAGAAUAGAACCAUAAUAUUGCUUCCCUGAAAAUAAUACAAUGGUUUCCUGACUGUAAUCUUACAUGAUUUCAUAUUAAAGUCCUCCCCUUAGCUUUCCAUUCCUAUUUUUCUCAGUUGUUUACUGUAUUUUGAGAUUAAUUACUUUACCUGGGAAAUAAUCCACCUAGUUGCAGAAGGUCUGGUUCAAUGAGUAAAAGAAAGGAUUACCGCAAACUUCUCAAAGCUUCAGAGGCUAUCUACACUGGCAAUUUACAGCAUCUUUCUAGUACAGGUUCUCACUUAGCGACUGCCUUAUUUAGCAACCAUUCCCAGUUACAGCAGUGAUGAAAAAGUAACUUUGCGAUCAAUCCUUGAGGUUACAACUUUUGCAGAUCUGUAAAGCAAGGGAAAGCAGAAGUCAGAUCAUAAGGACAGCCAUUGGUUUCACUCGGCCACCACUUCACUUAAAAAAUGGAUUGCUGGUCCCAUUUGUGAUUGCUAAAUGCUAAACGUUUUCAGUCAUAUGUCAACCUAAUUUCUGAGAAGAUGACGUGUUUCUUAAAUUAAAACAUGCAGGGCACCACCUAGAAGCCCUCAGUGAUAUUUCUUGUAUGCAAGAAAUGUCAACAAUGUGUGGGCUCUCUCUUAUGCUGCAUAUGCUGCAACAAAAAUAAUCCUGUGUAGCACCUAGAGAAAUGCAAAUUGUCCUUAGACUUUUAAGCAGAUACUUAUUGAUUAGAUUUCUAUCUCAUCUUUAUUUUGUGCAACUUAAAGCAGCCCACAUAAUGUUUCCUCACACAUUUAUCUGAAAAAGCUCCCUAUAUAAUUAGAUUAACAGUUAGCAAUUUCUGUGGGGUUAGACCCCAAUGAUGACAUAGCCUGAAUCAUCCCACAUUUCUUCCUUACUUCAUUCAUCAUUCCCCCCAAUCCUUCCUUUUUUUAAAAAAGGAACCCCUAAACAUGUGUCAGCUUUAAAUCUCAGGCCACAAAAUUCCCUAUAUACGGAAAACAAAAUCUUCAUUUUGCAGGAUCCAAUCUGGGUCAGUCACUGGGACCAGAAGUUUAAUCUUCCAGAAAGCUGAAACCAGUGACUGAUCCAGAUUGGAUCCUACAACAUUAUUCUGGGACAUGUAUAUUUGCCUGCACUCCAUUUUGUUCUAGCUUUUUAUUUAAAAAAAAAAACAAAACCUGGGCAGUUAUUCCAGUUUCAAUUCAUGUUAAAUGAUCUAGUUUACAAAAUGAAUACAAUAUUUCAUGGGUGAGAUGAUAUUUUGUGAAAAAUAAACUGCAGCGAGUAAUGCAUAUGACAUGAUUCUGGAGGCACUAAAUAACUGAAGCUGUAAUUCACCUAUCGGGUUUUUAAAAACCUGAAACAGAAGCUUCAAUUUAGUUCAAAGAAUUAUUAUACCACCCACCAGUUCCCUGAGAAUCCAAGUAAACCUGUGUUGCAGUUGUAAACACUUUCUGUUUGCUUUAUUUGUUUAAUUAAAUAAUAAUCGAUGCUGUUCUAUAA